UAUAUAUCAUAGACUAUACCUGAAAUCAUAGAUCGAACCGUGCAUUUUCUUCAUGCAUCUAAGAUGACGGAUAAGAUUGUCUUUUCUACAGAUUGAACUUCCUUUUGGAAUUCUGUUGAUAAACUAAAAUAAGAAAAAAUUAAAUGUGCUAUUACCUGCCACGGAAGUAAUAGCUUAUAAUGGGGUAAAGGGAAACCGCCGGAUCGCCACCAUAAAUUCCAUCGAUCUUUGAAUACAUUAUUUUCGCCAGUAUAUUCUCUCCAACCACGUUCCGUACAAACCUGUGAUCAAAAUUAAAUUUUUUUUAAAUAAAAAAAAAAUCUUGUGAAUGCGUGAUUCGAAUGAAUGAAACAAUAGAUAUAUUUUACAUUCUACAAUUAGGAAACGUUUAUACAUGAGAAAAUAACAGAAAUGUUGAUUUAUUUGUCGUGUUAUUAGAGCAUUAAGAAUGGUUACUUCAAAAGUGAACCAAGGCCUCUAAUUACAAUUAAAUUCAAGUAUAUCUCUUUUCACUGUUACGGUAGCCUACUUUUAUUAUUCUUUUCUUAUAUCAUCGAUUCGCUGUGAAAGGUCAUCGACCACAUUUACACCCUGUUCUUAUAACCUGAAUUAUUUCUAUUCAUCAAUAAGAGUUUGAUUUCAUCCAUAGAAAUAUUAAAUUUAUUAUUAAAUUUAUAUCAAAGUUAAAAAUAAAAAAAAGUAUUUUCAAUUAUAUUGCAUAUAUGUACUUA